rnacentral:tRNA from 1 species
GCGGACGUAGCUCAGUCGGUAGAGCAUUGGCUUCCCAAGCCAAGGGUCGCGGGUUCGAGCCCCGUCGUCCGCU